UACAGAGGGUGCGAGCGUUGCCCGGAAUCACUGGGCGUAAAGGGCGCGUAGGCGGCUCGGUCAGCGUGCGGUGAAAGCCCGGGGCUCAACCCCGGGUCGGCCGUGCGAACUGCUGGGCUGGAGCACUGUAGAGGCAGGUGGAAUUCCGGGUGUAGCGGUGGAAUGCGUAGAGAUCCGGAAGAACACCGGUGGCGAAGGCGGCCUGCUGGGCAGUAGCUGACGCUGAUGCGCGACAGCGUGGGGAGCAAACAGG
rnacentral:rRNA from 1 species